rnacentral:tRNA from 1 species
GCCUGGAUGGCUCAGUUGGUUGAGCAUCUGAUUUCAGCUUAGGUCAUGAUCUCACAGUUCGUGAGUUUGAGCCCCACGUCGGGCU